GGGGAUGUAGCUCAGUGGUAGAGCGUGCGCUUUGCAUGCGCAAGGCCCGGGGUUCGAUCCCCCGCAUCUCCA